AAACAAAGUGGCAAAAAUUGGCAGAAACUAUAAAAUGAAGUGAAGUGAAUUACAAAAUAUGCGGCAUUCCAAAAGUUUACGUGCGGUCAUAAAAGCGAGCUACGUAUGUUGCUACGAAGCUCUGCAAUUGUUUAUUUGUGCACAAGUUGGAGCGAUUUGCAAUGGCUUGGAUAAUAAGUGUAACCCCGCUACCUGAUCGUCCUCGCCAGCGAUAUGCUCGAAAAAGACACACCCUGCUAUUUCAAGGAUCAACGCGAAGCAAGCGCAUUUCGCUUUACCUCCAUUGCUCCAUCCAGCCUCAAUACGGUUCGUUUAAACUUACACCACUCACAGUGAAGAAGAGAAGAAGGAUGCAACCGGCAAGGAUACUAAUUCUAAUUCGGUUUCUAUAUUCCCAACAGAGAACUACGAUCCCAUCACAACGCCAUCAACUCCAGAAUCGGCAUCAAAUAAUGCAAUCGCUUUGCAGUGCAUGAAUGCAGCAGAAGCCAUUACCCCUAUCCGCUAAUGUGACGCAAUGUUAAAGUGCAGAGUACAUGUACGAAGCUCACAUAGUUGUAAGCCAAGGCUUUUUUUCUUGUAAAUGGUUAAAAAUUCUUGUUGUUAAUACUAACUAAAAUAAAGGUAAUUUAAUUACUUUUAUGUUUGUUAUAAAUUCUUUCAAAAAAAUUAACUUUUUUUACAAAAAAAUCCAUGUUUUGUGUAUUGCCUUAUGCGAGUGCAGAGUACAUGUACAAAGUUCACAUAGUUGUAAGCCAAGGCUUUUUUUUUGUAAAUGGUUAAAAAUUCUUGUUGUUAAUACUAAUUACAAUAAAGGUAGUCUAAUUACUUUUCUUUUAUAUAUAAAUUAUUUUAAAUAAAUUCACUUUUGUUAUAAAAAUUUUAAAGUUUUGUGUACUGCCAUAUGCGAGUGUGAAACACAAAGUUGUUAGCCGAGACUUGUUUAAAAGAAAUGUUUCAGAAUCAUGAAUGGUAACACAUUUUAAAAUAAAGGUAAUUUAAUUACCU